CAGUAAAGCACCCUUACCAACGUAAUGACUCGGUAAUUCAUUAGUCGGUACUCCGUUAUCAAAGAUCAGUCACUACUCUUUUUAAUAAUUAUGUUUUAGGACAUUGUCUUCGAAAACUUUUAAACAUCAGCGCUAGUGGAGCUUGUACGGUAUUGUCGUAUAAUGAUGCGCGUGCUGUACGGCAUUAUGAUUGUCAAUUGUGUUUACUCUCGUUGUUAAUGUUAUUAUUAUUAUUAUUUCUCGAUAAAAAGUGUUAUUACCCAUUAAGCGUCCGUGAUAGUAACUAACGAUGUACAACGGAAUCGGUUUGGCAACAGCCCGUGGAUCGGGUACCAACGGUUAUGUACAACGGAAUUGGGCGGCCAUAAAGAAAGUCAAAGACCAGACGUCAUUCAAGACUGAAGAGGAGUUGGCCAAAAUAGAUUCUGCCGCCAACCGUCAACCCAACCAGGAGCUGUUGGAUCAUGACCGCAAGCGAAAGGUCGAGCUAAAAUGCAUUGAACUUGAACAGUCGUUGGAAGACCAAGGUUUUUCCCAAGAUGAAAUUAUCAAAAAAAUUAAUACUUUCAGAGUUACGUUAUUGGGAAAACAAAAGAAUACGACUGAAUAUGAUGAAUGUGGCAGACCUAUAUUAUUCUAUGAAAGAAAUAACUACAAAUUCAGUGUUAGGGAUACACAUCAAUUUGCUGAUGAGCAAUUAAAAAAGAAUGCAAGACUUAGAGAUGCUUUUGGUAUAUCAGAAUUUUUUAUUGAAGGCUCUAGCUUAGAUCCAGAAAGAAAAAUAAAAGAAGCAGCUCUGGCCCAGUUAAAAGCGUUGCAGGUGGAUAAAGCACUUGAGCAAACACAAACGAUUGAAGACACCUCAACAAAUAAAGACAGCAGUAUAGCAAACGAACUACAGUUCAAAAGUCCUAAGCACAAAAAGCGAAAGAAGAAGAAGUCAAAAUCUCAUAAAAGUGACAAGGAAAAAGGAAGUGAAAAGAAAAAAUCAAAAAAACAUAAAAAGAAACAUAACUCUUCAUCUGAAGAUAGUUCAAGAACUGAUGAAGUAAAAGUCAACAAGAAUUUGUCUCAAUUAAAAUCCAAAUAUGAUGAUGAUAAAUCUAAUAAAAUAACUGAAACUAAAAAAAAAUAUGAGUCUGAAAAUAAUCAUAAAAAAUAUACUAGGGAUAAUGAUACAAAGGAAGUAGAAUUUAAGUAUAAGAGUGAUCGGGAGGAUUACCGUAAAAAAGAUACUAAACUAGAAAAUCCUAAAAACCCGAAGAAAGAUAAAAUAACUGAAGAAAUCAACAAGUCAAAGUCUAAAGACAUUGUUAAUAAUUCUAAAAAACAAGAAAAUUCUCCUAGACAUAAAACACCAAUAAAAGAACGUGAUCGAGAUAGAGAGAGAGAUUAUGAUAAAUACUCAUAUAGACAAAGAAAUCGUGAUGACAUUAAAUCAAAUAAAGAAAAAUAUGAUAAAAAAUCUGAUAAAGCAGACUCAAAAUACAAUUCUAAGAAAAGGAAUUCAAGAACUCCUAUUAAAGAAUUGAAGAAAAAACCAAUUCAACCUGAGAGAUUAACUUGCAUUUCUGCUGAUAGUGAUAGUGAUAAGUCUUGUUAUACACCACCUCCCAAAGGUUUGAAUGCUAAAUUGAGUCAAUCAAAAAUUAAUGAAGAAAAAAAUUUAAAGAGUACUAAAUAUACAUUUUCAUUGCGCGAGGAUAGUGAAGAUCGUUUAGUUGUAACUAAGCCUAAUGGAAGUAAUAACGAUUUGAAAUCAGAAUUACAAAAUAGUGAAAAUCAACAUAAGAAACUUGAAACUCGAAAAACAAAUGAUAGAAUAGAUCAAGUAUUUUUAGAAUCUAGUUCAAGUGAAAACGGUGGAUUAGAAGAAGAUAUUGAUUUAAAUAUAAUUAAAGAAAUAACUACAGAAAAAAUAAAAAAAGUAUUUGAGUUACACGAAAAACAAGAGCAAGCACUGCUUCUUUUGAAAAAAAAGCUAAUGGAGAAAAAACGUAAAGUUAGGACUUCUUCCAGUUCAAGUGAGAGCUCAGACGAAGAACCUAUCAAAAAGAAAAGUGUCAAACGGAAACGUGUUAAAGAUUCGUCAUCUAGCAACAGUGAUGUGAAUACUAGAAAAAAAUCCAAACGCUCACGCUCUAGUAGCAGUAGCAGUAGUGCAAGUGACACCAGUGUUGAUCAUCAUAAGUCAUCAAAACGAUCUAAAGAUAAAUACUCAAAGAAAAAGUCAGUAUCACGCCGUCGUACUAAAAAUAGUACAUCUCGAUCUCGAUCACGAUCAGUGUCAGUUAGCUCAAAUGAACGGCUACGUAAGAAGCGAGUUUCUUCAAGUGAAGAAUCAAGUCCUAGGCGUAAACAUAAAUCAUCCAAACGCAAACGUUCAUCCCGAAGACCAAGGAGCAGUGAUAGUAGUUGUAGCAGUCGAUCAUCACCAUCUUACAAUAACAAAAGACGUUAUAGUUCAAGUCGUUCACGUUCGACUAGUAUUUCAUCUAGCAGUCAUUACUCCCGCAGUUCUAGUUCAAGCCAGGACUCAAGCAGUUCUGAGUCUAGCCGUAGUUCAAAGUCUCGAUCUGCAUCUAUACCUAGGCGACGGGGGUCGCCUAGUUUUUUGGAUCGAAGACGAAUUACAAGGUAAAUUUUAAUGUUGUGUGUGUUCUAUACCUCCUAUUUUAUUUUUAAAUUAAAUAUAUCUUGAGUUAAACAAUUCCAUAAAAUGUUUGUUUAAACUAUAUAAAACAUAAUAUGUUUACAUUUUUUAUUUACUCAAAUUCUCAAACAAAAUAGUAAAAUUAUGUUCCUAUCUCAUUUUAAAUUAUGCUCGAAUCACGAUUUGGAUGAUGAGACUGGAACACAGUGCGAGAAAAAGACCCAUCCCAUACACAAGACUAACGCCGUUUUCCACCAAUUCUGAUACGGAUAGUGUCAUCAGCGUGCACGACUCACCAAUUGCUGAGAGCCACUAACUCGGAAUUUUUUCUUUGUAAACUAACACAAUUUGUUAUAGUGCAAUAACUAUUAGGCCAACGUUAAAUAGUUAAGUUAUCUAACUCUAGUCAAAUAUUUGUGGAGUGUGAAGUAUCACAUUUCAUAAUUUUAUUAUUUCAACCUUCCUAGCAAACAUGUGAUUUUAUUAUUAACAUUCCACGUAGAGAUUAUAACUUAUGAAAUCUAGUCAAAAGUCUAAGUCAUUCCUUUACGCCUUGUAAAUGUUUUAAAAUCUUUGUGAUAUAUUAUUUUUGACGGGAAUAAUACAAUAUUUUUCAUGUUACCAAUAAUAUGUUGUUCUAUGUUAUUAUUUAUUAAUUAACUAUAAUUUUUUUUUCAUUUAUAUAUUAUAUAUUAUAUAUAUAUACAACAUUUGUAUGUUUAAAAUAUUGUUCUGAUAAUUUUCAAAGAUGGACCAAAAAUUUUGGCAUUUAAUUUUUUUUAAAUUUAAUGCAAAAUAUUAACUUGCAAUUACAUAGUAUUCUAUGUUUUAUCAUUUUUAAGCUUAAAAAUAUUAUAUUAUUUAAUGGAUUUGAUAGAAAUAAAAUAACUGUUUGUAUUUAUAACAUGUGCAAUAACAAACAAGCAAAUUAAUAACAACCACCUAACUAUUGCUUUAUUACAAGUUACCAUUUAACAAAUUAAAUUUUAGACAGUUGUACAAUUCAUUUUCUUAAUAUUUAUAAAAUAUCUUAUGAUUUGAUUGCUGUCGUUCAUUUGAAUAUAUGUACAAUAAAAACAGUCUUUUAAAAACUACAAUUAACCCCUCCCAAAUUUAAAAUUUAAGCAUAAUAUUAAUGAAUCUAAUUGCUCAGUUCUUUGAAAUAUAAAAAUGCUUUCAAAAAAAUGUUUUUCAAUCAACAUCAAUAAUACCUAAUAAGCAGAUCUAUGGAAAAAUGUACAACUGUAAUACAAUUGGUAACAGUAUUAUACAUAACCAUAACAAUUUUUUUUUGUGUGCAUAUAUAUUUGUUUUUGUUUUUUUUUUAAUAAUAUUAAAAUAUAUAUAUGAAAAAAAAAAAUA